UUUUCGUUCGGUGAAAAGAAAACCCUGACUGACUGACACUGACAACAGCGCACUUAUCCUAUUUGCCACGCCAUCAUGGAUCGCCUCACUGACGUUUCAUGCCCUCCGAAUCCAAGGCUUCGAAGACAGCUCAAACUCUUCAAAUUAAAGCGCAAACAUCUGCCGCAAUCAAGGGUCAAGUCGCCGUGUGAGAUGCAACAAAUAUCAAUGAACUACUCUGUAAUAGCUGUCCUGAGGGUCCCGAUCAGCCUGCCGUCAUCCGAGCACUGACCAGCCUGCCGACGCCAGCUAACUGGCCUGAAAGCCCUGGUCAGCCUACCGCCUUCAGCACCUUGCCCAACCCCUAUCCUAGAGGCGCUGCCUAAGCCACCGUCGUCCACCUAGGGUCACCGUAGAUAGCUCUUCGGCGCACAUGCAUGUGUAAACAACCUGUUUUAAGUAACCCAGCAUAAUCUACUUAGGUCCACAGGAAAUUGCUGUCGAUACUUAUUUAUGUGUAAAUAAACUGUUUUGAAACGUCA